ensembl:snRNA RNU6-589P RNA, U6 small nuclear 589, pseudogene
GUGCUCACUUUGGCAGCACAUAUACUAAAAUUGGAACGAUAUAGAGAAGAUUAGCAUGGCCCCUGUGCAAAGAUGACAUGCAAAUUCAUGAAGCAUUCUGUAUUUUU